UUCUCAAGGACUGUUUAAAAUAUUCUACAAAAUUAAGUAUGCGAAUUCAACGAAUAAAUUUUAACCAGAUAAGGGUAAGGUUACUGCAAUGACUACAGAUACAAGAAAA